AAGAUUUUAAGUUAAAAAAACUAUUUACCUUCAAAGUAAAAAAUAUUCUAAAUAAAUCUUA
rnacentral:tRNA from 1 species